AUUGAACGCUGGCGGCAGGCCUAACACAUGCAAGUCGAACGGUAACAGGAAACAGCUUGCUGUUUCGCUGACGAGUGGCGGACGGGUGAGUAAUGUCUGGGAAACUGCCUGAUGGAGGGGGAUAACUACUGGAAACGGUAGCUAAUACCGCAUAACGUCGCAAGACCAAAGAGGGGGAACUUCGGGCCUCUUGCCAUCGGAUGUGCCCAGAUGGGAUUAGCUAGUAGGUGGGGUAACGGCUCACCUAGGCGACGAUCCCUAGCUGGUCUGAGAGGAUGACCAGCCACACUGGAACUGAGACACGGUCCAGACUCCUACGGGAGGCAGCAGUGGGGAAUAUUGCACAAAGGGCGCAAGCCUGAUGCAGCCAUGCCGCGUGUAUGAAGAAGGCCUUCGGGUUGUAAAGUACUUUCAGCGGGGAGGAAGGGAGUAAAGUUAAUACCUUUACUCAUUGACGUUACCCGCAGAAGAAGCACCGGCUAACUCCGUG
rnacentral:rRNA from 1 species